rnacentral:rRNA from 1 species
UACGAAGGGUGCAAGCGUUACUCGGAAUUACUGGGCGUAAAGCGUGCGUAGGUGGUUUGUUAAGUCUGAUGUGAAAGCCCUGGGCUCAACCUGGGAAUUGCAUUGGAUACUGGCAGGCUAGAGUGCGGUAGAGGAUGGCGGAAUUCCCGGUGUAGCAGUGAAAUGCGUAGAGAUCGGGAGGAACACCGGUGGCGAAGGCGGCGACCUGGGUAGAUACUGACGCUGAGGCGCGAAAGCGUGGGGAGCAAACAGG